AUUGAACGCUGGCGGCAUGCUUUACACAUGCAAGUCGAACGGUAACAGGCCUUCGGGUGCUGACGAGUGGCGAACGGGUGAGUAAUGCAUCGGAACGUGCCCAAUCGUGGGGGAUAACGUAGCGAAAGUUACGCUAAUACCGCAUAAGCCCUGAGGGGGAAAGCAGGGGAUCGCAAGACCUUGCGCGAAUGGAGCGGCCGAUGUCAGAUUAGCUAGUUGGUGGGGUAAAGGCCUACCAAGGCGACGAUCUGUAGCGGGUCUGAGAGGAUGAUCCGCCACACUGGGAUUGAGACACGGCCCAGACUCCUACGGGAGGCAGCAGUGGGGAAUUUUGGACAAUGGGCGCAAGCCUGAUCCAGCCACGCCGCGUGCGGGACGAAGGCCUCGGUU
rnacentral:rRNA from 1 species